CUCGCUUCUCUGCCUUUUGGCUAAGAUCAAGUGCAAUAUCUGUUCUUAGUUUAAUAUCUGAUGGGCCUCUCUCCGAGGACAUUAUAUGAAAUGUAUUUUUGGAAUAGAGAGAUGGAAUCGGAGCUUGCUCCGUCCACUCCACGCAUCGACUGGUAUUGCAGUACCUCCGGGAACGGUGCACCAAAC
ensembl:snRNA U2 U2 spliceosomal RNA